GCCCAUAUAGCUCAGGGGUAGAGCACUUCCUUGGUAAGGAAGAGGUCGGCGGUUCAAUCCCGCUUAUGGGCU
rfam:Helicobacter suis HS5 contig00051, whole genome shotgun sequence.